UUCGCCUCCGACCGCCGGAGUCCUAUUGAUGAUCCAAGUGCGCCUACAGACUCAAAAUAACGCGUGGAUGAUGAUUCUAGCUUUUGAUUUUUCAAUUUAGACCUUGAUCAUCUUGAAUCAUCCAGCAAUUUUCAACCGUCGACUUUUUCACGGAGUCCGGUUACCACGAAAUAGAUGCCACCAGAAAGCUUAUGACAAGAAGAGUUUGAAUGUGUCCUCUAAUCAUCGGAAUUUAAUGGUAUUGGUCGAAAAAGUGAAAAAUUUGAACUGCCCCUACACUCUUUACCUUGUCGGAUUUUACAAUUCCAGCAGCUGCAAUGGGUAACAAUGGAUGGAAAAAGAAGCCCAGAAGCUGUUGAUCAUUUUGAGCCUGAGAAUGCCACAAAUGGUCGCCGGAAACUCCAUGAACAUCAUCAUGAAGUUCUCCCUUUUUCUUGCCGAAUUCCACCAUUUGCGUCUGUUGAUCAUUGCGGCCGAUGCUGCUGCCACAUUUGUCAGCCUCUCCUCUUCCACCAGCCGUCGCCACCACAUCUCAGACAGCCUCCUCCCAAUUUCUGCCAUUAAUGGCAACUUCCCUGUCCUCCUUAUUCUUCGUCCUUCCUCUCUUUCUUUCUUUUUUCUUUUCUUUCUUUUCCGUCCAUACCCAUAUUUAG
rnacentral:lncRNA from 1 species